rnacentral:lncRNA from 1 species
CGUGAAACUGCCUCUGGCUAACCUUGGGCGCCAUAGUCACCGCAGCCCCUUCUCCUCACCUGCAUUGUGGGGAUAAAACGGGGAGCAGCAGCAGGAGUUUAAUAGAAAUGUAAUAAAUGCACCAGCUGCUUCCUCCUUGAAUUUGCCUCAUGCUUAAAAAAACACCCAAAACCCCAUUUUGAUCAACAUCAGUAUUAAUGGAUUAAAUCUAUGCUUCCAGGUGUCAUAAGAAAGCUGCAGAGAUAGCGCAGGAUAGUGCACACCCCAGAAAUGAUCUCCUUCAGCUUUUGCCUUCUGGAAGAAGGUACAGGGUUAUAAAGACUGAGAAACAGUUUCUAUCCAAAUGCGAUUUUGGUUUUAAACGCAGUGUAAGGUAGUCUCUGUGGGAGUAUAUUGUAUUUAAAAAUGGGGUAUCAGACUUUUUAGGGGGCUAAACAGGCUGGGAUAGCAGGCUGGUGGGUUUUUGAAUGUCCGAUGUAGAUUUUUUCAAUUUCGUUCUGUAUGGGACAGUGACAAUAAAGAGUAUUGUAUCGUAAUACUGAACCAGGCAGAGGGCCUUCUCGGUGGUGGCCCCUGCCCUGUGGAACACCCUCCCAUCAGAUGUCAAGGAAAUAAACAACUAUCUGACCUUUAGAAGACAUCUGAAGGCAGCCCUGUUAGGGAAGCUUUUAAUAUUUGAUGAAUUAUUGUAUUUUGAUAUUUGGUUGGAAGCCACCCAGAGUGGUUGGGGAAGCCCAGCCAGAUGGGUGGGGUAUAAAUAAUAAAUUUAAUAAUAAUAAUAAUAUUGCAGAUUUAUAAACUGCCUCACAGCCCAAAAAGAGGUGGGGCACUUUCCCCAGGAGGCUUGCCUGACACCUUCAUUGCAUAUCUCUAGGCAGCAUAGGAAAAUGUUUCUCUUCCUCCAGCUGUGGGCUGAUUAACAAACUAUAGCCUUUUAAACGUGUUUGUGGGAGGGAGGUUAUUGGUUUGUUUUGGUCUGUGUUCUGUUAAGUAUUUUGUGUUCUCGUUUUUGUAUUUUUAUGCUGUGAACCGCCCUGUGAUCUUCAGGUGAAGGGCAGUACAGUGGUACCUCAGGUUAAGUAUUUAAUUCGUUCUGGAGGUCCAUUCUUAACCUGAAACUGUUCUUAACCUCAGGUACCACUUUAGCUAAUGGGGCCUCCUGCUGCUGCCAUGCCGCCGGAGCACGAUUUCUGUUCUCAGCCUGAAGCCAAGUUCUUAACCUGAAGCACUAUUUCUGGGUUAGUGGAGUCUGUAACCUGAAGCAUAUGUAACCUGAAACGUAUGUAACCCGAGCUACCACUGUACACAAAUUUAAUAGAUAAUAAUGUUCAGCAAGAUAACAUGCAAACGCUUAUGGGCUGCAUAAACUUAAAGCAAUCCCGUCUACACUUGUACGAUAACGUUCCAUAACAAAACAAUUGGUCACAAGGAAAGUCAUCUUGAAGAAAAUGUCUCCAGUAACUGCCUAAAUGUCAGCAUGCCAGGUGCUUGUCUAAUUUCAGAUGGCAACGGAUUUUGGAUGGAUGAAGUUGCAACACUGCUGCACUUGUGGCCAUCGCAAGGGCACAUCGCUUUGUGGCAGCGAAUAGUACUCAAGAAGCGAGCAUUCAUGGAGGCCCCAUCCAGAAAAUGAUCUGCUUUGCCCAUUGGUUGCUCUGACACCAUGCUCUUUGACUUAUUUAUUUUUAUUUUACUUCUGUCCUGAUAAUUAUAUACUGGGGUGUGCUAUACAAAUCUGGUAAGGGGACGGGGGGCACGCAGAUCUGAAGCCGAAACAGCAGAGCUGUGUCCCAGAUUCAACCCCCAGGAUUUCCAGGUAGGACCUACACGUGGGAUAAGUAAGCACAUUUAAAUGUGGCACUUCUACAUUUCACGUUGGGUUGGCCUACAGCUUAGCAUGGCUGAGCACAGCGCAUUAUUCUUAGGAAAGGUUUGUGUCCAAUCCUCCACACCUCCACUUACAGCAAACUCACCUGGUAAGGUGUCCCUAGGAAAGGGCUGAUUCUGGCUUGUGUAAUUGGCUUCCUGGGAAAGGUGCUUCCCGUCAGAGCAGACAGUCCUGAGUGUGAGACAAACCAAUGAUCUUCUCACUAACCGCAAGGAAGCUUCGUAUGUUCAUAAAUGUAAAUGAACAUGGGUUAUGGCCCACAACGAAUCUAUUGCCACUGGCAAUCCAGUCCUCAAGUGAGGCAGAUUUGGCAUCAUGUAUUGCAACGGCUUGGACUACUUGUGCAAUUAUGUUAUUUUCAUUAAUACGGUGUUUGUCUGAUAAUGUGUGGUUUGUUGUUGUUGUUGUUUAGUCGUGUCCGACUCUUCGUGUCCCCCUGGACCAGAGCACGCCAGGCACUCCUGUCUUCCACUGCUUCCUGCAGAUUGGUCAAACUCAUGCUGGUAGCUUCGAGAACACUAUCCAACCAUCUCGUCCUCUGUUGUCCCCUUCUCCUUGUGCCCUCCAUCUUUCCCAGCAUCAGGGUCUUUUCCAGGGAGUCUUCUCUUCUCAUGAGGUGGCCAAAGUCUUGGAGCCUCAGCUUCAGGACCUGUCCUUCCAGUGAGCACUCAGGGCUGAUUUCCUUCAGAAUGGAGAGGUUUGAUCUUCUUGCAGUCCAUGGGACUCUCAGGAGUCUCCUCCAGCACCAGAAUUCAAAAGCAUCAAUUCAAAAGCAUCAAUUUUGCUAUGCCUAAUAAAGGAUUGACUUGUUGUUAUUUUCAUUAUUAAAGGAAAUCUGGCAUACACCUCCAAUGCAGCCACUGUGUGAAAGCAGGAACUUUUUAGGUAAAGCAAUAUUCAGCUGUUUUUUUUCUAGAUUUAUUCCUCUGUCAUAGUAACAAGUUGCUGCAAUUUUUAUCCUGCUGAAUAUUAACCACUUGUGUAAGAGAAGGGCAUUAGAUCAGUGUUACAGCUCCUGUUUUGCACGCAGAAGGUCCCCAGGUUCAAUCUCUGACAGCUCCAAGUAGAGUGAGGAAUGUCCCUUGCUUAAAACCCUGGAGAGCUGCUGCCAGUCAGUGUUGACAUUACUGAGCUUGAUGGACCAGUGGUCUGUCUCAGUAAAAGGCAGCUUCCUGUAUUACCAUGUCUUUCAUUGGGAUAUCUUCUAUUAGCGUAAGAAGCUGCAAGUCUUGGGUUUUAGUUACUUCUUACUGACAAACUAAAAAUACGCUUGGAACCUGCUUUGCUCCGUACGCAACUGAGAACUGUUUUCAUUUCUGCUAAGGAAGACUUCGGUGUAACCCAAAUCCUCGUUCAGGCGGCCAGCAAAUGUCAAGUCAGUAAAAGUUUGCCAGAUUUGCUUCUCUUUGGGGCAAGGCCAAGGUGCAUUCUAGGGCUGUAGGAUUAGCUAUUUAUGGGGACCUGCCAAUGUUGUAAUGUUAUAUUGUAAACCGCCCUGUGAUACUUGGAUGAAGGGCGGUGUCGAAAUUUAAUAUAAAUAAAUAAACGUUGAACGUAUGCCCUAAUCCUCCCUGGUGCAUGCUCAACGUUUUGGCACGAGAAUGUAAAAGUUCCUCAAGCAUGAAUUGCACGAAUGCUGCGACUGAGCAUACGCAGGGUGCUUUUCCUUCACUGUAGGUACCAGGUGCAUAGGACUGGUUAGACGAAAAAUAAAAAAUAAAAAAUGGGGAAGCUAUCAGAACAUCUGGGCUAGCUACAGUUAUGGCUCCUCUGUUUUUACUAUUUCAUUUUAUACCUUUUUAUGUUGCGAACAGGUCUCCGGAACGGAUCCCGUUCGUGACCAGAGGUACCACUGUACACUGAUAUUAGUUCGCCUGUCUUCCCAAGUGAUGUGUAAGCCACCCAGACACCUGUGGGCAUAGGGCAGUAUACAGUGGAACCUCAGUUCCUGAACACCUUGGGAGCCAAAUGUUCCGGCUCCCGAACGAAAACUGGAAGUAAUUGUUUUUGAACGUUCUAUGGAAGCCAAAUGCCCAGCAUGGCUUCUGACUGGCUCCAGGAGUCGUGGCCGAACUGUUUCAGGAAUCGAACAGACUCCUGGAAUAGAUAAAGUUUGGGAACCAAGGUUCCACUGUACAAAUAUAAUAAAUAAAAAUAAUCCAUGCUGGCCACCGCUACUUCUUGUGGGAGCGAAUUUCUUUAACUAUGUGUGAACACAGGCUUUUUCUUUUUUUCUCCUGGCUCUUCCCACAUUUGGCCCCAUCAAAUCCUAGUAUGGUACCAAAGGGAGACCCAACAACCCCUAACUAUUCACUUUCCUCCAUAUGUAUCUAUUGCCCUCGUAACAACGGCUUCAGCUCGUUUCAGAGAUCAAACCGAGUCCCCGAUUUCAGCAUCCCAAUCCCAAGAAGGACGCUCCAUAUAUUGUGCUCACCCGUUUCCAUCAUCCAUGCGUUUCCGCGCACAAUUCAGAGCAGUAAAUAUAGGUCACUUCAUGGCCCACAGCCUGGAUCCCAGCCAAGCAGCUCCGCCAAGCAGAGUUUGCCUGCCUUAACAAACACACAACCCUUCGUUUUUGGUGUGUUUUAACAACGUGCUUCGUCUGUUGCUUCUGUGGUAACAUACACAGAAAGUAUGUCUCAGAAUUCAUCCAGUAUACCUGAAGGAGUGUCUCCACCCCCAUCGCUCUGCCCGGACACCGAGGUCCAGCGCCGAGGGCCUUCUGGCGGUUCCCUCAUUGCGAGAAGCAAAGCUACUGGGAACCAGGCAGAGGGCCUUCUCGGUAGUGGCGCCCACCCUGUGGAACGCCCUUCCAGCAGAUGUCAAAGCGAUACCAACUACCUGACAUUCAGAAGACAUCUUAAGGCAGCCCUGUUCAGGGAAGUUUUUAACGUGUGAUAUUUACUGUAUUUUUGGUUUCUAUGGAAGCCGCCCAGAGUGGCUGGGGUAUAAAUAAUAAAUUAUUAUUAUUAUUAUUAUUAUUAUUAUUAUCAUCGCUGCCCUUUCAGUCUUUACUCAAGCAUUGAAAGCUGAUUAUAUUUACAUUAAACUACUUUCUUACUGUAUUUUGUGCACUUUUCCCUACCUCUUUUUCAGUUUCUUCAUCACUUUAUUUCCUAUAACUGAAAUUCUUUUAUUUUUUUUAAAAAAUGGAAAUGGCUUUUAGAUGGACAAUUGUGCAGCUAUGAAACUAUGCGAUUUUUAAAAGACAUCUGAAGGCAGCCCUGUUCAGGGAAGUUUUUAGCAUUUUAUGUUGUAUUGUGUUGUUACUGUUUUUUGUUGGGAGCUGUAGCAACGCAGUCAGAAUAAUAUAUUUAUAAUUAAUUUGUGCAAUUUUACUUGUGCAAUUAUGUUAUUUUCCUUAAUGUGGUGUUUGUCUGAUAAUGUGUGGUUUGUGUUUAGUCGUUUAGUCGUGUCCGACUCUUCGUGACCCCCUGGAUCAGAGCACGCCAGGCCCUCCUGUCUUCCACUGCCUCCCGCAGUUUGGUCAAACUCAUGCUGGUAGCUUCAAGAACACUGUCCCACCAUCUCGUCCUCUGUCGUCCCCUUCUCCUUGUGCCCUCAAUGACAAGCCUAGACAGCAUCUUAGAAAGCAGAGACAUCACCUUGCUGACAAAGGUCCGUAUAGUUAAAGCUAUGGUUUUCCCAGUAGUGAUGUAUGGAAGGGAGAGCUGGACCAUAAAAAAGGCCGAUCGCCGAAGAAUGGAUGCUUUUGAAUUAUGGUGCUGGAGGAGACUCCUGAGAGUCCCAUGGACUGCAAGAAGAACAAACCUCUUCAUUCUUAAGGAAAUCAGCCCUGAAUGCUCACUGGAAGG